rnacentral:rRNA from 1 species
CUCCACCCGAGACUCAGUGAAAUUGAACUCGCUGUGAAGAUGCAGUGUACCCGCGGCAAGACGGAAAGACCCCGUGAACCUUUACUAUAGCUUGACACUGAACAUUGAGCCUUGAUGUGUAGGAUAGGUGGGAGGCUUUGAAGCGUGGACGCCAGUCUGCGUGGAGCCGACCUUGAAAUACCACCCUUUAAUGUUUGAUGUUCUAACGUUGGCCCCUGACCGGGGUUGCGGACAGUGUCUGGUGGGUAGUUUGACUGGGGCGGUCUCCUCCCAAAGCGUAACGGAGGAGCACGAAGGUUAGCUAAUCCUGGUCGGACAUCAGGAGGUUAGUGCAAUGGCAUAAGCUAGCUUGACUGCGAGCGUGACGGCGCGAGCAGGUGCGAAAGCAGGUCAUAGUGAUCCGGUGGUUCUGAAUGGAAGGGCCAUCGCUCAACGGAUAAAAG